CUCGAAUUUGUCACUGCCAAAAUAAUCUUAACUUUUCUGGGUGUAACUUCAAGGCUGAAACCCACAUCUGUUUCUAUGUAUGGAGAGCACCUGUGAAAAUAAUAAGAAACAACAAACAGAUCUGA